GAAAUUGGAAUCAAUGGGUGGUGGCCGAUAGGGAUUAUAAGUAUGUUGUUGGAAGGAUGGUAGGAUGUCAAAUGAAUGAGUACACCAUUUUGAACAUUGUUUGUAGAGGAUUUAUCUAGAAGGAAUAUGUUCCCCUCUAUUUUUCAUAUGGUGAUAACUAAUAAGAUAUGGUUGUUUAAUUGGCAAGUUGGCUUGGUGACCCAUUAAACUAAAAUUCCCAUGAUUAGGGGCUUAAUUAUUAUGAUUAUCACUUAUCAUUUAUCUUUUUUUUUUUGGCUCCAACAACCAUCGAGUACAAUUCGAUAAAAGGGAAGUAUAUCAAGGAAGGAGAAAAUAGUAAUUAGGUGUCCAUUUGUAAUUAUGUUAAGACUCACAUACGAGACUUUAGCAAAUAUAGAUAAUACUUUGUACCAAUACAGUAUAUAACCACAAUGACACUGUAACAUAAAAGUUAAUUUGACGGCCUACUUUAAAAAAUCUCUCGGCCUACAAAAUGGUGCGACGUUUUACAAGUUUGAUAAAAGAGUGGGUUUUGAAAAAGACCGUUGUUCCGAGCCUAGCUUUCCUCCAAAAACUCGUUAACCAAAUUAGAUUAGUACUUAUCAAAGAAUUUUUGUAAUUUGAUUUGGUGUUUUUCGAAUUUCGAUCUAUAAUAAUAUUUUAGUAUUAGUUAGGGCGGAUAUCAUAAAUCAAAAUACGAGCAAAAUAUUCAUUUGAGAUCUAUCUAUAAUACAACUGAAGCAGAUGCCAUGUAAUGACGACAUUAUGAGCUCACGACAUCAAACCUCAUGAAAACAGAACUGGACGAUCGAUCCUCCAAAUCUUCAAAGAAAUAGAAUCAAGGAUUGCCAUCAUCAUCACCUCCAUUCGGCCCACAUGAAAUGAAAAAAUCAACCAUAUUAAAUCACCAAUUACACCGUCGAGGUUUAGUCAUCCUUAAUCGUGUUUAUGUUGGAGAACCUCUCCUUUAUACCUGGCUGAGUUUUUAUGUUUUCAAUCUUUGUGUUUCUUGUUUUUUUUUGUUUUAACUUUUUUGAAUUUUG
rnacentral:lncRNA from 1 species